UACGGAGGGUGCAAGCGUUAUCCGGAUUCACUGGGUUUAAAGGGUGCGUAGGCGGGCAUGUAAGUCAGUGGUGAAAUCUUCAAGCUUAACUUGGAAACUGCCAUUGAUACUAUGUGUCUUGAAUGUUCUGGAGGUUAGCGGAAUAUGUCAUGUAGCGGUGAAAUGCUUAGAUAUGACAUAGAACACCUAUUGCGAAGGCAGCUAACUACGGAAAUAUUGACGCUGAGGCACGAAAGCGUGGGGAU
rnacentral:rRNA from 1 species